rnacentral:rRNA from 1 species
UACGAAGGGGGCUAGCGUUGCUCGGAAUCACUGGGCGUAAAGCGCACGUAGGCGGAUCUUUAAGUCAGGGGUGAAAGCCCGGGGCUCAACCUCGGAACUGCCUUUGAGACUGUGAGACUCGAGACCGAGAGAGGAGAGUGGAAUUCCCAGUGUAGAGGUGAAAUUCGUAGAUAUUGGGAAGAACACCAGUGGCGAAGGCGGCUCUCUGGCUCGGUACUGACGCUGAGGCGCGAAAGCGUGGGGAGCAAACAGG